AUUGAACGCUGGCGGCAUGCCUUACACAUGCAAGUCGAACGGCAGCACGGGAGCAAUCCUGGUGGCGAGUGGCGAACGGGUGAGUAAUGCAUCGGAACGUGCCCAGUCGUGGGGGAUCACGCAGCGAAAGCUGCGCUAAUACCGCAUACGAUCUAUGGAUGAAAGCGGGGGACCGUAAGGCCUCGCGCGAUUGGAGCGGCCGAUGUCAGAUUAGGUAGUUGGCGGGGUAAAGGCUCACCAAGCCAACGAUCUGUAGCUGGUCUGAGAGGACGACCAGCCACACUGGGACUGAGACACGGCCCAGACUCCUACGGGAGGCAGCAGUGGGGAAUUUUGGACAAUGGGCGCAAGCCUGAUCCAGCAAUGCCGCGUGCAGGAAGAAGGCCUUCGGGUUGUAAACUGCUUUUGUACGGAACGAAACGGUCCGGGUUAAUACCCUGGGCUAAUGACGGUACCGUAAGAAUAAGCACCGGCUAACUACGUGCCAGCCGCCGCCGUAAAAC
rnacentral:rRNA from 1 species